rnacentral:rRNA from 1 species
AUUGAACGCUGGCGGCAUGCUUUACACAUGCAAGUCGAACGGCAGCGCGGGCUUCGGCCUGGCGGCGAGUGGCGAACGGGUGAGUAAUGCAUCGGAACGUGCCCAGUAGUGGGGGAUAGCCCGGCGAAAGCCGGAUUAAUACCGCAUACGACCUGGGGGUGAAAGCGGGGGACCGAAAGGCCUCGCGCUAUUGGAGCGGCCGAUGUCGGAUUAGCUAGUUGGUGGGGUAAAGGCUUACCAAGGCGACGAUCCGUAGCUGGUCUGAGAGGGCGACCAGCCACACUGGGACUGAGACACGGCCCAGACUCCUACGGGAGGCAGCAGUGGGGAAUUUUGGACAAUGGGGGCAACCCUGAUCCAGCCAUGCCGCGUGCGGGAAGAAGGCCUUCGGGUUGUAAACCGCUUUUGUUCGGGAAGAAAUCCUCUGGGCUAAUACCCCGGGGGGAUGACGGUACCGGAAGAAUAAGCACCGGCUAACUACGUG